CCAGAUUCCAAAGAUAAAUCUCUACAUAAGGUCGAUGGGUUUAUCGAGAUUCUGUAUAUUUUCGAAGAGAAUGCUGAUGAAGAUCCUAAGAUUAGGGUUCCUGUGAAGGAUGAAGGAUAAAGGAAAAAUUGGGAAGAAAAUGAAAGAGGCUAUGUUUGGAAAAUGUGAGGUUGUAUGUACAGAAUAUGGCGAAGGAUGAUAGGGAGGUCAAAAGGGUGGAGCCGAAGAGUAAUCAAUCGGCUCUGCAUGUGGC